UACGAAGGGGGCUAGCGUUGUUCGGAAUUACUGGGCGUAAAGCGCACGUAGGCGGGUUUGUAAGUAGGGGGUGAAAUCCCGGGGCUCAACCUCGGAACUGCCUUUGAUACUGCAAAUCUCGAGUCCGGAAGAGGUGAGUGGAAUUCCUAGUGUAGAGGUGAAAUUCGUAGAUAUUAGGAAGAACACCAGUGGCGAAGGCGACUACCUGGCCUGUUCUUGACGCUGAGGCGCGAAAGCUAGGGGAGCAAACGGGG
rnacentral:rRNA from 1 species